rnacentral:rRNA from 2 species
GGACUACCGGGGUUUCUAAUCCCGUUCGCUCCCCUGGCUUUCGCGCCUCAGCGUCAGGAGAGGUCCAGCGCGCCGCUUUCGCCGCCGGCGUUCCUUCCGAUAUCUACGCAUUUCACCGCUCCACCGGAAGUUCCGCGCGCCCCUACCUCCCUCGAGCCGGCCAGUAUCGGGGGCACUUUUCCGGUUGGGCCGAAAGAUUUCACCCCCGACUUGGCUAGCCGCCUACGCGCCCUUUAAGCCCAGUGAAUCCGAACAACGUUCGCACGGUUCGUCUUACCGCGGCGGCUGGCAC